rnacentral:rRNA from 3 species
ACCCGCUGAACUUAAGCAUAUCAAUAAGCGGAGGAAAAGAAACCAACAGGGAUUGUCUUAGUAACGGCGAGUGAAGCGACAAAAGCUCAAAUUUGAAAUCUGGCACCUUCGGUGUCCGAGUUGUAAUUUGAAGAAGGUAACUUUGGAGUUGGCUCUUGUCUAUGUUCCUUGGAACAGGACGUCACAGAGGGUGAGAAUCCCGUGCGAUGAGAUGUCCAACUCUAUGUAAAGUGCUUUCGAAGAGUCGAGUUGUUUGGGAAUGCAGCUCUAAGUGGGUGGUAAAUUCCAUCUAAAGCUAAAUAUUGGCGAGAGACCGAUAGCGAACAAGUACAGUGAUGGAAAGAUGAAAAGAACUUUGAAAAGAGAGUGAAAAAGUACGUGAAAUUGUUGAAAGGGAAGGGUUUGAGAUCAGACUUGGUAUUUUGUAUGUCUUGCUUUCGGGUGGGGCCUCUGCAGUUUACUGGGCCAGCAUCGGUUUGGACGGUAGGAUAAUGACAUUGGAAUGUGGCACUACUUCGGUGGUGUGUUAUAGACUUUGUUGAUACUGCCUGUCUAGACCGAGGACUGCG